GCCCAACAACAACUUGGCAGGGCAACACAGUCCAAAAGCUCUAAUUCUCUCUAACAUCUGCUCCUUUGUUGCUUCUCGUUGUAGCCUCUCUGGCCAAGAAGAAUAAGAUCUAUGCUUGAAGCUGGCCAUCACCUUUCCUCUUAGUGCUAUUCUUUUCCAUCCCCACUUCAGGCCACCAAGCCAUGAUCUUGAGAUCCUUUAAACCCUCUACGUAGAGCUUCUCAUUCUCCUUCCAUAGGACCCGACCAGCCAAGAUGCUGUAUGCUAGGAGAAGCAAGCCCACUCGAGCCACCCGUCCAUCUGGGAUGAUUUAUAAAGCUGAUUUCUGGGAGCGAUAUGAAUCUGCUCUCCCAAGGUCAAGGAUCCAACCCAGACUGUGCUCAGCUUCCUUUAAAUCUCAAACAAAACCGCACCUUCUAAGGGACAUGUUCUAGAAUCCUUCUUAAUUACAAUACCUUUCUUAAUAGCAGCCCUUUUUGUGCUGGCAAAGAACCAGAAACUGAGGGGAUGUCCAUCAACUGGGGAAUGGCUGAACAAGUUGUGGUAGAUGAUGGUGAUGGGAUGCUAUUGUGCUGAAAGGAAUAAUGAACAGGACAAUUUCAGAAAGAGCUGGAAAGACUGACAUGAACUGAUGCAGAGUGAAAUAAGCAGAACCAGGAGAACAUGGUACACAAUAACAGCAGUAUUGUAGAACGAUCAAAUGUAAUGGACAGCUUUUAUCAGCAAUGCAAGGAUCCAGGACAAUUCUGAGGGACUUUGGACAAAGAAUGCUAUCCACCUCCAGAGAAAGAACUGUAGGAGUCAGAUCUGCUGAUCAAAACAUAUGAUUUUUUACUUUAGUUUAUUUAGAGGUUUGGAGUUCAUAUGAUUAUUUUCUUACAAAAAUGAACAUCAUGGAAAUAUGGUCUGCAUGAUGGCAUGUUGUAUAGCUCAGAUCAGAUUGCUUGCCAUCUCUAGGAGGAAGAAUGGAAGGGAGAGAGGAAGAAAAUUUAGACCAUAUAACUUCAGAAAAUGUAUAUGGAAACUUAAAUUAUGUGAUUGGCAAAACUUUAUUAAAAAAAUAAAAAUUGAU
rnacentral:lncRNA from 1 species